ACGAACGCUGGCGGCGUGCCUAAUACAUGCCAGUAGAACGCUGAAGGCAGGAGCUUGCUCUUUCUGGAUGAGUUGCGAACGGGUGAGUAACGCGUAGGUAACCUGCCUGGUAGCGGGGGAUAACUAUUGGAAACGAUAGCUAAUACCGCAUAAAAUUGAUUAUUGCAUGAUAGUCAAUUAAAAGGUGCAACUGCACCACUACCAGAUGGACCUGCGUUGUAUUAGCUAGUUGGUGGGGUAACGGCUCACCAAGGCGACGAUACAUAGCCGACCUGAGAGGGUGAUCGGCCACACUGGGACUGAGACACGGCCCAGACUCCUACGGGAGGCAGCAGUAGGGAAUCUUCGGCAAUGGACGGAAGUCUGACCGAGCAACGCCGCGUGAGUGAAGAAGGUUUUCGGAUCGUAAAGCUCUGUUGUAAGAGAAGAACGAGUGUGAGAGUGGAAAGUUCACACUGUGACGGUAUCUUACCAGAAAGGGACGGCUAACUACGUG
rnacentral:rRNA from 1 species